AAAUUGAAGAGUUUGAUCAUGGCUCAGAUUGAACGCUAGCGGCAGGCCUAACACAUGCAAGUCGAACGGUAACAGGAAGAAGCUUGCUUCUUUGCUGACGAGUGGCGGACGGGUGAGUAAUGUCUGGGAAACUGCCUGAUGGAGGGGGAUAACUACUGGAAACGGUAGCUAAUACCGCAUAACGUCGCAAGACCAAAGAGGGGGACCUUCGGGCCUCUUGCCAUCGGAUGUGCCCAGAU
rnacentral:rRNA from 1 species